UACGUAGGGGGCUAGCGUUAUCCGGAAUUACUGGGCGUAAAGGGUGCGUAGGUGGUUUCUUAAGUCAGAGGUGAAAGGCUACGGCUCAACCGUAGUAAGCCUUUGAAACUGGGAAACUUGAGUGCAGGAGAGGAGAGUGGAAUUCCUAGUGUAGCGGUGAAAUGCGUAGAUAUUAGGAGGAACACCAGUUGCGAAGGCGGCUCUCUGGACUGUAACUGAUACUGAGGCACGAAAGCGUGGGGAGCAAACAGGAUUAGAUACCCCCGUAGUCCCUGAGCGGGCU
rnacentral:rRNA from 1 species